UGCCAGCAGCCGCGGUAAUACGAAGGUGGCAAGCGUUGUUCGGAAUCACUGGGCAUAAAGCGCGCGUAGGCGGCUUGGUCAGUCGGAUGUGAAAGCCCUCAGCUCAACUGAGGAACUGCGUCCGAAACUGCCAGGCUUGAGGUCUGGAGGGGAGAACGGAAUUCCUGGUGGAGCGGAGAAAUGCGUAGAGAUCAGGAGGAACGCCAGCGGCGAAAGCGGUUCUCUGGACAGAUUCUGACGCUGAGGCGCGAAAGCUAGGGGAGCAAACGGGAUUAGAUA
rnacentral:rRNA from 1 species